rfam:Termitomyces sp. J132 unplaced genomic scaffold scaffold366, whole genome shotgun sequence.
GGUGAGAUGGCCAAGCGGUCUAAGGUGCCAGACUAAGGUGGUUAUCUGGUCUCUUUGGGGGCGGGAGUUCGAAUCUCCCUCUCAUCA